GACGAACGCUGGCGGCGUGCUUAACACAUGCAAGUCGUACGGUAAGGCCCUUUCGGGGGUCCACGAGUGGCGAACGGGUGAGUAACACGUGAGUAACCUGCCCACAACUUUGGGAUAACGCUAGGAAACUGGUGCUAAUACUGGAUAUGUGCUCCUGCUGCAUGGUGGGGGUUGGAAAGCUCCGGCGGUUGUGGAUGGACUCGCGGCCUAUCAGCUUGUUGGUGGGGUAGUGGCCUACCAAGGCGGCGACGGGUAGCCGGCCUGAGAGGGUGACCGGCCACAUUGGGAAUGAGAUACGGCCCAGACUCCUACGGGAGGCAGCAGUGGGGAAUAUUGCACAAGGGGCGCAAGCCUGAUGCAGCAACGCCGCGGGCGGGAGGACGGACUUCGGGUUGUAAACCGCUUUCAGCAGGGACGAAGCUUUUUGUGACGGUACCUGCAGAAGAAGCACCGGCUAACUACGUG
rnacentral:rRNA from 1 species